GAAAGGAAAAAAAACUCUCCGUAUUCUUAAAAAAAAUAAAAAAAAAUAUCACGCCCAAGCUAAUUGUUGCUCCAAAUUAUGAUCAAAAUUUUUCAUUGAACGCUCAAAUCAUCGGCUAAAUCUCUCUGAUUUUCAAUCGCCGCUUCCAUUAUCGGUUUUCUGUCGUCAUCAACACCGGAGUUGCGGUGGCAGAUGGCAAAACUAUUGACAGUGAAGAGGGAUAUGGUGGUUGAAAACUCUUCCGGUGAAGAACAACGCUGCCAACAACUCAACUAGCGAUCUAAGCUUUCUCCUUCUAGACAAGUUGGGUUUUCUCUCUUUCUAUGUUUUUAGUUUGAUUUAUUUGUUUUAUGAACAACCUGGAGAUUAUGAGUUCAAGCCGUGGAAAAGUUUCUUGCAGAAUGUAAGGUAAAGCUGCGUAUGUUCGAUCCUUCGUUGGACACCACAUAUAGCGGGAGUUUAGUGCACCAGGCUGCCUUUUAUAAGAAGUUAUAAAUAACUAAGCCGUACAAAUAGCUUCUUGCAGAAAGUCUGAGUACAAUAUAUCUUUGUGGAUUGAUCGGUUUAGUCAAUCCCGGAUUGCGCAUAGCAGGAGCUUUAGCGCACAAGGCUGCCCUUUAUACGGAGUUAUAAACAAUCUAAAGGUCAUGGGCUCAAGCCGUGGAAAUAGCCUCUUGCAGAAAUGUGAGGUAAGGUUACAUAUCCCGAGGCCCGUGCAUAGAGGAAGCUUUAGUGCACCGGGAUGCCCUUUAUAAGAAGUUAUAAACGAUAUAAAUUCAUUGAUUUUUGGUGUUUUUCUGAUCUGCAGAACUUUCGUGCGUUUUUACUGUUUCAAUACUCAAACAACACUUGUGUUAUUUUUUUCACCGUGCAUCUUGUUAUAUACUAAUACAUGCGUUGAAUUUGACUACAUACAGAGGUUUAUGAUUUUAGUUUUGAGUUUUAUGAUGUUAAUUGUGUAAAGAUUGUAUUAGAUCUCGAGUCCCUCCCAGACCUCGCCUAUGGAACUACAUUGGAUUUUAUUUUUUUGUUGUUGUUGUAUUAUAGUAUGUUGAGAACAUGAGGUCUCAGGUUCGACGAAAACACUAGGCAAUUCUUGUGGAAUUAGUCGAGGUGCGCGAAAGCUGACCCAAAUACAACAGUUAAAAAAAGAAAGUAAUUAAGUUUCCACUAGAUUUGCCUCAAUCAAUAUUUUUGGAAACUAAAGUUACCAAGUUAAGAACAACACAACAACAACAAACCCAGUGUAUUCCCACUUAGUGGGGUCUGGGGGGGGUAAGAUGUACGCAGUCCAUACCUCUACCUCUGAUGAAGUAGAGGCUGUUUCCGAAAGACCCCCGGCUCAAGUCACGAGAUAUCACACAAACACAUAGUACAGCACAGAAGCAGAUGACAUAACAUAGAUAUUUUUGGAAACUCAUUAAUUCCUUGCAAGUUGGAGAACUUGAGAUUACCACGUUGUAAUCUUGGAUAUAAUUAUGAAAGUAUUGAGUUGGUAACCAAGAUUUUCGAAUAUGUAAUUCAUCAAAUUCAUUUAGAUAACACUUCGUUGAAGUCACUAUUCUGUCCUUUCAAAAUUAGCGAAGGAAUAUAAUUGGAUUCCUUACUAUCCCAAGAAGCAAAUGACUACUCAAUAUAUAAAUAAGUGCAAAUCUUGUGAGGUAGACAGAGUGGGUUAUGCGAGGGCCUAGCGGUCAAUCUGUGACAAAGUUAGUCUUCACUUAACAAAUUAGAUGACCAUUUUUAUGUAGCACAAAAUUACAUAUUACAAAAUUGUGAGACAAUCUUCUCUAAAAUAAAAGAUUUCAACCGUUGUGGCUGUGCUUUCUAUUUGAUGCAAGUAAGGCAAAAUUUUACAAACUAUUGUUUUCAACAGGAUUCGAUCCCUCGCCAUCAACAAGGUUGCUUUCAGCCUUUCCCACUGGCAACUUGUCAACCUUGUUACCCCGAGUGCCAUUGGAAUUAUUUAUAUUAUUUCUUAUAUCUAUAUACACAUAUACAUAGAGUUUUGACUGAAGCUUGUGGAUAGCGUGGCCCCCUUGGACCUUAGUAGAUAUGCCCCUGUUUCUGGUGAAAACCUUUCAAGGAAAUGUGAAGUUUGAGUAGUUAAAUGUGUUUGAAUUCUUGAAAACUGGAUAGAAUAAUACUAUUAAUUGCAUUGCAUCAAACAUUUUGGGACUUAACAAACUGGAAAGUUCAUGGUAUCAAAUGAAGUAAUAAAGCAGUAUAAAUGACCAAUUGGGAGUAAGAAUUUGGUUUAUCAGUAAUGAUACUGCUUAAAGAGAUGCCAGUGAAUUUACGUCUAUUGUUAUCUUCUCUGAGCCAUUUCUUUCAAACUAUUCUGAGAAAACAAUUUUCUUGAGCCGAGGGUCUAUCGAAAGAACCUCUCUACCUCACGAAGGUAGGGGUAAGGUCUGCCCACACCCCACCCUCUCUAGAUUCACUUGUGGGACUAUACUGAGAAUGUUGUUGUGUUAUCUUUUCUGAGGUUUGAAUCAAGGAUAUUUUGCAGCAGCAACUGGGUGUAGGAGCUUGUGAUUUUCCUGUUUCACCGUCGCUAUUUUGCCAGACAGAUGCGCCUUGCUAAAAAAGAGCCCUUCACUGUUAGAUUUGAUUCAAAUGAGGCUUUCUAAGGAGAAGUCUUGGGAAGAAGGAGCAGAAAGGAAGCACCGGAAUGAUGGAAAAGCUCAAGGCCUCAAAUUUUCCUGGUUUAGUUCUGAGAAUUGGAAGCUGGGAGUAGAGGUCGAGAUAUGAAGGAGAUUUGGUUGCACAAUGUUACUUUGCCAAGCAUAAACUUGUUUGGGAAGUCCUUGAUGGUGUUCUCAAGAAUAAGAUAGAGAUCCAAUGGUCCGAUAUUGUGGGGUUGAAGGCGAAUUGCCCAGAUGAAACACCAGGAACCUUGGAUGUAGUGCUCUCAAGGCAACCUCUUUUCUUUAGGGAGACAAAUCCACAACCCAGAAAGCACACUCUUUGGCAAGCAACUUCAGAUUUUACCGACGGACAGACUAGCACACACAGGCGACAUUACUUAAAGAGUGUCAGCAGCAGGGAUUGUUGGGAAAGCAUUUUGAAAAGCUUGUGCAAUGCGAUCCUCGUCUCAACUUCCUGAGUCAACAAGCAGAGAUAAAACUAGAAUCCAGGAUAAAUCGGGUUCGAAGACACACAUGUAAAACUAGAAUCCGGGAUAAAUCUGGUUCGAAGACACACAUGUAAGGGACCAUGAAUUUGAUCUGAAUAAUGAAGGGAGUCCCAGUUUUAUCGACUUGCAAAGUGGCUCUUCACCUUCACGAGCUCAGUGUUCUUCCUCCAAAACUGAGGAAGAUCCUAUUCAUAGAGCUGUGGAAUGUUUUCACCAAGAAAAGUGAGGAAUUUAUUUAUUCGACUGCAAAAAAAUUUAAUCAC